GAUGAAGAACGUAGCGAAAUGCGAUACUUGGUGUGAAUUGCAGAAUCCCGUGAACCAUCGAGUCUUUGAACGCAAGUUGCGCCCAAAGCCAUUAGGCCGAGGGCACGCCUGCCUGGGCGUCACACGUCGUUGCCCCCCCAUCUACUCCUUCGGGAUUGCGGGGGGCGGAUGAUGGCCUCCCGUGCGCCUCGUCGCGCGGUUGGCAUAAAUGCCAAGUCCUCGGCGACGCACGCCACGACAAUCGGUGGUUGCGAAACCUCGGUUGCCCGUCGUGUGCGGUCGUCGCGCAUCGAGGGCUCGAAAAAAUUGCCGGGCUCCGGCUCGGCUUUCAACGCGACCCCAGGUCAGGCGGGGUUACCCGCUGAAUUUAAGCAUAUCAAUAAGCGGAGGA
rnacentral:misc_RNA from 1 species